ensembl:lncRNA
CAUAGUAGCAGUUGACCAGGAACUGCAAAAUCAAGAACCUACAGGGGCCAGGAGGGUCACAGUCAAAUGUGGGAAACAAGUCAUUUAAAGGCACAGCAGGUCAUAUCCAGCUCUACCACCCCAUGGAUGGUAACCCGCAGACUCCUCUGUCCUGAGGAUAUAGUGAAGAGCAAACAAACAGGGGACCUGUUUUCAACUGAGCCUAAAUUCUUGCAACAGAAACCAAAGAUAAAGUUUGAAAGUAGAGACUUGUGCAUAGAAAACUGUUAGCUAUUCAGAAAAGUCAAAAGAAUAGUAUGGUGACCACUUACAUACCACCUACCUAGAUUCAGAUUAAUCUAAAGCAUUAUUUUUGUCCUGUCCUCCCCUUAGGCACUAAAGUCCAAUGACUCUUCUAGUAUUUCGGUACAGUUCAGUCUUCCUCAAAGUUUGCUUUAGGAGCUGACCAUCACUUGAGCACUACCAUGUGGCAGGCCAGGCCUAAUUUUGACAACCGUAAGAGAAUUGUGCAUGCUAAGUUGCUUCAAUUGUGUCUGACUCUUUGUGACCCUUUGGACCAUAGCCCGCCAAGCUCUCAAGUCCUUGGAAUUCUCUAGGCAAUACUGGAGUCAAUUGCUGUGACUUCCUCCAGGGGAUCUGCCUGACUCAGGGAUCAAACCUGCAACUCUUAUGUCUCCUGCUUUGGCAGGCGGGUUCUUUACCACUAGCGCAAACUGGGA